CUUGGAGUGAAGUUUAGUAAUGAAGUCCGUGAGCUGUGCGUCAAGAAAAGCCGCUAUUGUUCAUACCAUACCCGUACCGUAAACCGACACAGGUGGAUGAGGAGAGAAUCCUAAGGCCGGCGGAAGAAGCAUUGUCAAGGAACUCGGCAAAAUGACCCCGUAACUUCGGGAGAAGGGGUGCCUGCGAGAGCAGGCCGCAGAGAAUAGGCUCAAGCAACUGUUUAGCAAAAACACAGGUCUAUGCGAAACCGAAAGGUGAGGUAUAUGGGCUGACGCCUGCCCGGUGCUGGAAGGUUAAGAGGAGAGGUUAGCGCGAGCGAAGCUUUGAAUUUAAGCCCCAGUAAACGGCGGCCGUAACGAUAACGGUCCUAAGGUAGCGAAAUUCCUUGUCGGGUAAGUUCCGACCCACACGAAAGGCGUAAUGAUUUGAGCGCUGUCUCGACAAUGCAUCCGGUGAAAUUGAAGUACCAGUGAAGAUGCUGGUUACCUGCGCCAGGACGGAAAGACCCCAUGGAGCCUUACUCCAGUUUGGUACUGGGAUCCGGUACUGCAUGUACAGGAUAGGUGGGAGGCUGAGAAUCGGUAACGCCAGUUGCCGAGGAGCCGCUGUUGGGAUACCACCCUUGCAGUAUUGGGUUUCUAACCAGCCGCCGUGACCCGGCGGUGGGACAAUGCCAGACGGGGAGUUUGACUGGGGCGGUCGCCUCCGAAAGGGUAUCGGAGGCGCCCAAAGGUUCCCUCAGGAUGGACGGAAACCAUCCAAAGAGUGCAAAGGCAGAAGGGAGCUUGACUGCGACACCGACGGGUGGAGCAGGUACGAAAGUAGGGCUUAGUGAUCCGGUGGUAUUAAGUGGGAAUGCCAUCGCUCAACGGAUAAAAGCUACCCUGGGAUAACAGGCUUAUCACUCCCAAGAGUUCACAUCGACGGAGUGGUUUGGCACCUCGAUGUCGGCUCAUCGCAUCCUGGGGCUGUAGUAGGUCCCAAGGGUUGGGCUGUUCGCCCAUUAAAGCGGUACGCGAGCUGGGUUCAGAACGUCGUGAGACAGUUCGGUCCCUAUCCGGCGUGGGCGUAGGAUAUCUGAGAGGAGCUGUCCUUAGUACGAGAGGACCGGGAUGGACGGGCCGCUGGUGCACCGGUUAGACUGCCAAGUCUAUAGCCGGGUAGCCAAGCCCGGAAGGGAUAAACGCUGAAGGCAUCUAAGCGUGAAGCCCCCCUCAAGAUGAGAUAUCCCAUCCGAAAGGAGUAAACCCCCUUGAAGACGACGAGGUCGAUAGGGCAGGGGUGGAAGUGUGGUAACACAUGGAGCUGACUGCUACUAAUAGGGUGAGGGCUUGACCUG
rnacentral:rRNA from 1 species